rnacentral:lncRNA from 1 species
ACCCACACAUCCAGAAAAUUAAAUAUGCUCCAUCAUGAGUGCAAAAACAUGUUUCUAUCCCUAUGUUGAAUUUUAAUUUCAACAAAAAUUUAUUUCUUUACUAAUUUAAAUGCUCACAGAAUAUUCAAAUAAAUCAAGUUAAAUCCUAUUAAUUGAAAAUUAAAUUUUGGGUGUUAUAGAAUUCAACACUCAUCAUACAGGAACUCAUCAUGUGAUAAUUUUUGGUUUUUUGAAAAAGAUAAAUCUCUAGAACUCUAGUAU